GUGCCAGCAGCCGCGGUAAUACCGGCAGCUCAAGUGAUGUCCCAUAUUAUUGGGCCUAAAGCGUCCGUAGCUGGCCGCGCAAGUCCAUCGGAAAAUCCACCCGCCCAACGGGUGGGCGUCCGGUGGAAACUGUGUGGCUUGGGACCGGAAGGCGCGACGGGUACGUCCGGGGUAGGAGUGAAAUCCCGUAAUCCUGGACGGACCACCGAUGGCGAAAGCACCUUGGAAGGACGGAUCCGACAGUGAGGGACGAAAGCUAGGGUCUCGAACCGGAUUAGAAACCCGUGUAGUCC
rnacentral:rRNA from 1 species